UAGUUCUCAAUCUACCUCACUGUCUGCUCAUCUAUCCUGCACUUCCCGAGUUUGCCUAUGAGGAUGUUAUGGGAGACAGUGUCAAAAGUCUUCCUGAAGUCAAGGUAGACAGCAUCCACUGCUCUCCUCUCAUCUACUCAGCUAGUCAUCUUGUAGAAGGCUGUCAGGGAUCAAGGUGAUGCUGACUGUCCUGUAGUUCCUUGGGUUCUUCCUGCCCUUUUUGAAGACUGGACCAAUAGGAAUGGUAUCGACCAAACUUCCGACCUAGAAGGUACAAAUACAUCAGCUCACCCAAACAGCCUUUGAAGCAGAUCCAGCAGCAGCUGGACUGCCGAGGCUCUCAUGCUUCCCCGUGCAGUUCAGGGGAUGCGCGCAUCAUGACAUAGAAGGAAGGAUGAGGACUUUCACUGUCAGCUUCCUACUCUUGGUGACUGUGGCUGUUUAAGUAAGAAGAUACAGAAUGUGCCUGUGCAUUCCCAUGUCAGGAGAAGAAAAUCAACUUCACAUGAAAGUCUUACUCACUGCUACUGGAUAGAG